AUUCCAGCUCCAAUGGCGUAUAUUAAAGUUGUUGCAGUUAAAAAGCUCGUAGUUGGAUUUCUGGCAGGAGCGACCGGUCGGCCCCAGUGGUGUGUACUAGUGUUGCAUCUGGCCAUAUUUGCGGAGAGCGCGUGUGGCAUUAAUUUGCCGUGCGCGGGACCCGCAUCGUUUACUGUGAGAAAAUUAGAGUGUUCAAAGCAGGCUUAUGCCUUGGAUAUGUUAGCAUGGAAUAAUAAGAUAAGACUUUGGCGGUCUAUUUUGUUGGUUUGCACGCCAUUGUAAUGAUUGAUAGGGACAGUUGGGGGUAUUCAUAUUUAAUUGUCAGAGGUGAAAUUCUUGGAUUUAUGAAAGAUGAACUACUGCGAAAGCAUUUACCAAGGAUGUUUUCAUUA
rnacentral:rRNA from 1 species